GUUCUGGAAAAUCCUUUCCAGCUUCCCACUGGGCUCCUUUUCAGGCUGCAUGGCCGGCAUCCGGCAUCCUAUUUGGACCGUGUGCCUUAGCUUCUGACCGUGGAGAUGGAGAGAUCAGACCCCCUCUAUUGUCUAAAGGCCUCCAAGUUUUUCCACUAUCCAGCUCUGCUUCUGUAAGAAUCCAGGAGUUGUUUGAUUCUUCGAGGAUCUCAACUUGUGAUUGAUUCAUUGGUACUCAGACUGAAGUAUGUUCUAGGAUGACAACUCAGCUGUUUCUGGAAAAAUUACAACCUUGGCCAGGACGUUCCAAAUAAGUUAAAACAAUCUCUACAUCUGAGGGAGACAGCCUUUUACGUAAGGGGCUGAGGACAGAGCAGAGAAGAAACAUUGAGGGAGAAGUAAAUGAGGGGAGAGAAGAAGAAACUGAGGAGGCCGUGAGCCUGGAUGCUGCAUGGGGGAGUGAAGAAUUUGAAUUGCUGGGAUGGCCAAGAAGUGUUUGGAGUCCAGCAUCACUCACUGGGGACAUGAUGACGUUUGUUCUGCAGCAGGGAAUGUCUUCCUAGCAUGACUGGCAGUGGAGAAUGUCUGUCUUUUACUGGAAAACCCAACUCCUACAUGAAUAUGCGAUCUGGCUCUGGGGCCUCAAGAAGAAAAUCACAAUAAUACUUUUUCUAUCAUCUUCAUUUGAUGGCAUUAUCCUUG
rnacentral:lncRNA from 1 species